rnacentral:lncRNA from 1 species
UGGCCGAAAGAAGUCUGGAAGAGAUUCAGAGAGUAGUCGAUCACUGUAGAAAAUCGACUCAUAGUGAAGCCCAGAGAGCAUUUGGAGCAGUCCGAUAGAUGAAUAGAGGAGCUCAUUAUUGGAGAAGUCCGGAUGGCGCGAUGGGAGUUCGUUUGUUGGAGGAAUCUGGAGGACACUGUGGAAGGUCGACUGCUGGGAGAGUCCGAAUGGUAUUAUAGAAGCUUGGACAGCCGGGGGAGUUUAGAAAGACGCCGCACAAGG